rnacentral:rRNA from 1 species
UACAGAGGUGGCAAGCGUUGUUCGGAAUUACUGGGCGUAAAGGGCGCGUAGGCGGUUCGUUAAGUCCUGUGUGAAAGCCCCCGGCUCAACCGGGGAGAGUCGUCGGGGACCGCACCGCUUGAGGGCGGUAGGGGCUGGUGGAAUGCCUGGUGUAGUGGUGAAAUGCGUAGAGAUCAGGCAGAACACCUGGGGCGAAGGCGGCCAGCUGGGCCGUCCCUGACGCUGAGGCGCGAAGGCGUGGGGAGCGAACGGG